UGAUGUCAGAACAAUCUGGCUAUGACAUCUGUCAUCCCAUUGAUUGCCAGGGUUGAUUUGGCUGAUCUGUCUGGCUGGGUGGUGUCCCCUUCCUCUCUCACAGUUCCAUGUGUUCCCCUCCCGAAGCUGAACAUAGGUGGAAGAGGACAAGUUGCCCUGAUAGAGGAAGAUCAUUCCUCAAGGAGCCGUCCUCCCCUGCUAGAACCUACAAACAAACUCUCAAGGUCCAUUUGUAGGAGAAGGUAGGGUAGUCAAGCUUCUAAGACUCCAGACACAUCCAAAUGAGGUGCUGCAGGUGGCAGUCUGCCUUUCUUU
ensembl:misc_RNA 7SK 7SK RNA